rnacentral:rRNA from 1 species
GACGAACGCUGGCGGCGUGCCUAAUACAUGCAAGUCGAGCGGACAGAAGGGAGCUUGCUCCCGGAAGUUAGCGGCGGACGGGUGAGUAACACGUGGGCAACCUACCCUGUAGAUCGGGAUAACAUCGAGAAAUCGGUGCUAAUACCGGAUAAUCAUUUGAAGCGCAUGCUUCGAAUGUAAAAGAUGGCUCCGGCUAUCACUACGGGAUGGGCCCGCGGCGCAUUAGCUAGUUGGUAAGGUAAUGGCUUACCAAGGCAACGAUGCGUAGCCGACCUGAGAGGGUGAUCGGCCACACUGGGACUGAGACACGGCCCAGACUCCUACGGGAGGCAGCAGUAGGGAAUCUUCCGCAAUGGACGAAAGUCUGACGGAGCAACGCCGCGUGAGUGAUGAAGGUUUUCGGAUCGUAAAGCUCUGUUGUUAGGGAAGAACAAGUGCCGUUUGAAUAAGGCGGCACCUUGACGGUACCUAACCAGAAAGCCACGGCUAACUACGUGCCAGCCGCCGCAGUAAUAC